rnacentral:rRNA from 1 species
UACGUAGGUGACAAGCGUUAUCCGGAUUUAUUGGGCGUAAAGCGCACGCAGGCGGCUGAUUAAGUCUGACGUGAAAUCUCUCGGCUUAACCGGGAGCGGUCGUUGGAAACUAAUUGGCUUGAGGCGAUGAGAGGGGUGUGGAAUUCCCGGUGUAGUGGUGGAAUGCGCAGAUAUCGGGAGGAACAUCAGUGGCGAAGGCGCUCUGCUGGACCAUAACUGACACUCAGGGACGAAAGCUAGGGGAGCGAAUGGG